AUUGAACGCUGGCGGCAGGCCUAACACAUGCAAGUCGAGCGGAGCGGCGGACGGGUGAGUAAUGCCUAGGAAUCUGCCUGGUCGCGGGGGAUAACGUCAGGUAACGGGCGCUAAUACCGCAACCUAUCAGCUGCGCAUAGGUCGGAUUCGCGUGUUGGGGGGUGAAAGGCCUACCAAGGCGACGGUCCAGAACUGGUCUGAGAGGAUGAUCCGUCAAACUGGAACGGAGACACGGUCCAGACUCCUACGGGAGGCAGCAGUGGGGAAUAUUGGACAAUGGGCGAAAGCCUGAUGCAGCCAUGCCGCGGGUGUGAAGAAGGUCUUCGGAUUGUAAAGCACUUUAAGUUGGGAGGCGUUACCUACAGAAGAAGCACCGGCUAACUUCGUGCCAGCAGCCGCGGUAAUUC
rnacentral:rRNA from 1 species